AUUCCAGCUCCAAUAGCGUAUAUUAAAGUUGUUGCAGUUGAAAAGCUCGUAGUCGGAUUUCGGGUCGACUGUGCCGGUCUGCCGUUGGGUAUGCACUGGUCUGGUCGGUCUUUUCGCGUGAGGCCUCGUGCGUCGUUGAUUCGGCGUGCUUGGUGCUCUGCAGAUUUACUUUGAGAAAAUCAGAGUGUUCAAAGCAGGCCUUUGCCAUUGUAUGUGUUAGCAUGGGAUAAUGGAAUAGGACCUUGGUGCUAUUUUGUUGGUUUCGAACGCCGAGGUAAUGAUUAAUAGGGACAGUCAGGGGCACUCGUAUUCCGUAGAGAGAGGUGAAAUUCUUAGACCCACGGAAGACGCACUACUGCGAAAGCAUUUGCCAGGGAUGUUUUCAUUG
rnacentral:rRNA from 1 species